rnacentral:rRNA from 1 species
ACCCCACUAUGCCUAGCCUUAAACACUGAUCAAGCUACAUUAUUACAUCCGCCCGGGAACUACGAGCCGCAGCUUAAAACCCAAAGGACUUGGCGGUGCCCCAAACCCACCUAGAGGAGCCUGUUCUAUAAUCGAUACCCCCCGCUUAACCUCACCCCUCCUCGCCAGCAGCCUAUAUACCACCGUCGCCAGCCCACCUCAUGAGAGAAAGCAAGUAGGCACAAUGGUAGCCACCAAAACGUCAGGUCAAGGUGUAGCUCAUGGAGCGGAAAGAAAUGGGCUACACUUUCUACACAGAAGAUACGAAAGACCACUAUGAAAUCUGGUCUGAAGGCGGAUUUAGUAGUAAAAAGAUUCAAGAGUGUUCUUUUUAAUCCGGCCCUGGGGCGCGCACACACCGCCCG